GACGAACGCUGGCGGCGUGCCUAACACAUGCAAGUCGAACGGAGAUGAUGGGAUAGCUUGCUAUUUAAUCAUCUUAGUGGCGGACGGGUGAGUAACACGUGGGCAACCUGCCCCAAAGAGGGGGAUAACACCGAGAAAUCGGUGCUAAUACCGCAUAAUAUUAGAGCUUCGCAUGGAGCUUUAAUCAAAGGAGCAAUCCGCUUUGGGAUGGGCCCGCGUCUGAUUAGCUAGUUGGUGAGGUAACGGCUCACCAAGGCGACGAUCAGUAGCCGAUCUGAGAGGAUGACCGGCCACACUGGAACUGAGACACGGUCCAGACUCCUACGGGAGGCAGCAGUGGGGAAUAUUGCACAAUGGGGGAAACCCUGAUGCAGCAACGCCGCGUGGAGGAAGAAGGUCUUCGGAUUGUAAACUCCUGUCUUCUGGGACGAAUAAUGACGGUACCAGAGGAGGAAGCCACGGCUAACUACGUG
rnacentral:rRNA from 1 species